AUUAUCCGAAGCAGGUUCCAGGCACUGACUGUCAACACAGAGCCCAAUGUAGGUCUCGAACCCCCAACCAUGAGACCAUGAGCUGAGUUGAAGUUGGGCCCCCGACUGAGCCAGGCGCCCCACAGCUGCUACUUUAAAUGCCCCUGUAGGUUUAGAGUUUCUGUUCAUUUGUGGACAAUUACUAACUUACCUGAUUGAAGGGUUUAAUGAUACCAGCCUCUUGUAAAGGGAAGUGCCGUGGGAAAUAGAAUCUGAGCAAGAGGACAGCCGCAGGUCAUUGACGCCUUUUUACUCAGAACACCCUGUACCCAUCCUCUCCGUUACAGGGGUGCUGGAGUAAAGGAUGCUAAUUCCCACUUGGUUACUUAGGACCCCCACAUCAUUUGUUUGUGGGGCAGCGACACAUUCUCAGGAGGUUGACCUCUGUUUAACGUGAAAGAUGAUUAAAUAGAUGCAAAAGGGUUUUGUAAACUGAGAAGGGUUAUGAUUUUAAAAUAUUGUUUGCAAGCAAUCCUUAAUCUGCUAGAGUCCUUAGCAUCCUGCUUAUUUAUACAGAAUCUGAAACACAAGGCUGUGGAAAAUUAAGAAUCCAUCCGGAACACUAAAUGUAGUAAAAGCAAGAUGAUAGAUUGUGCUGAGAACCUUCGUAACAAGUUAUGCCUCCAACUUUGCAGUUCUGCCGCCCAUGGGAAGAAUUGAGUAUCUUAGGCCCUGGUCACCAGAUUCUUAGAACCAUUAAAAAGGCCUCAAAAAGGUUCAUAUUGAGAUCCAUUGAAGGCCUUCUGCUGACUGACAAAGGCAGGUCAUCAGGCUACCACACCAGAAAACACGCAGCAUGAGGGACAGAGUGGGGGCUCUGGGCACCCGCCCCGGGAAGGUGAAGGGGGCAGGAGGGGACUCAGACAAGUUGCCGUGUGGACUUGAAGGAGCACAGGGGGAGAGCCCUUGCCCGUCCUCCCGGACGCACAUGCCUGUGGAUGACGUAGAUGGAACUUCCCAAAAUGAGGAGUUGUCAACGGAAGUGAAAAAUGCUCUGAGUGAGGUCAGCCUCUCGCUUCACAGUGGCAACAAAGCUCUUCCGUGUUUGAAAGAAUCAUUAAGAAGAAGUUCAGCUCCCGCGGCGGCCCAGAGCAAGACUGUGGAUCUGUCCUGUGCUCCUGCGGGAGAGCAUUGUGCUGGGGUGUCGUGUUGGGGUGGGGGAGCUCUGGCGAGGGGCUGGCCGGGAGGAGGGCCCAGGGCCAGCGACAGCCACAGAGGAUGGUGCCACAAAGGAGAGCCUUGGGGGCCAGGACUACCGUGCCUUCAGAAACGGUCAGAAGUGGGGAUUUGUGAGGAGGACCCGCCAAGUGCUCUUCUAGAGGGGCGAGGCUCCGAGUCGGAACUGUCUUGCCUGCAUCUCGUCCGGUCGACGCUGCUGAGCGCACGCCCCGAAGUACUCCUGACUGAUGAGACAGAAUGUGUUUUCCUUGGCUGUUCAAAGCCCGCGUUUUCAGAGCAAACAGAAUACAAGAAAACGCUCUCACGUGUACGAAGUCCCUCAGCCGAUCUGCAGACAACAGCAGGGUUGCUGGCUCUACCAGCUUUGGAGGUCGCGAAUCCGUUUGGCCGUAGUUAAGGUGCGAGCACAACAAUAAAAGUAGUGAGAUUAAUUUUAAAAGCUUAGGAUGAUUUCUUCGACACUGGUCUGGCUGCCUGUUACGGGCCAGUGAGGUUCCUGCCUCAGUUGGUGUGAGCAAAGGAAGUGGAAUUGAAAGUCCUGGGAAGUUGUUGAUGCGGGAGGAGAUUUUUGAGCCUGCUUUAAAUUGUGCUCAAAACACAUUGAGUAUUGGGCUGCCACUUCAAGGAGAACAUUAAUACAUCCCGUAUCAAUAUCAGGUUAGAACGUGAAGACUUAACAGAAUUCUUUAUGGAUCUUCAGCACUCAUUGCCAAGGGCUAAUGCCCCAGGUACUGUGUCCCCAGGCCGUCUGCUCGGCUGCUGUUUGUACGAGCCAGCCCCUCCGUAGUUGACAGCCGUCCCCGUUUCCACAUUCUGUAGAAUAAUUUUGGGCUGCGGCACAAUUUGACUUCUAUCCUCACGUCUCCUCUCCUUCCACUGGAAACGCCAUUUAAAUGGAGGCCCUACAGUGAACGUUGCAAUAUUAAAUGUACUUUUAGUAUAGUCCUUUCUCAAACUGGGAGCCCUACCAGUGUCGCCUAAAAUAAAAGCAAGCUUGGGACUUGUCUGCUGCAGCUCAGCUGGGGAGAGACGGACCUAGUGUUUCCCUUACAAGAAGGUUCCAGUUCCUAGGAGUGGAGGUAUCUCUUAUACUAACAUUUUUUCUGAGGUAACGCCUCUGGUGGUUGAUAACUUCGAUAAAGGUCACUUCAGAGCGUGGAGUUUUCAAGGAGUCCCAAAGUGAGACUUCACCGUUUUCGGGGCUAUCAAUUGCCUGUAUCCGUUUGUGUGCUGUUUCAGUGUUUUGGGAAAGUGAAAAAUGAAAACUUGUUACUUAGCAUAAUAAAUGUCUUAUUUUAAGUGUGUGUA